AUUGAACGCUGGCGGCAGGCCUAACACAUGCAAGUCGAACGGUAACAGGAAGCAGCUUGCUGCUUCGCUGACGAGUGGCGGACGGGUGAGUAAUGUCUGGGAAACUGCCUGAUGGAGGGGGAUAACUACUGGAAACGGUAGCUAAUACCGCAUAACGUCGCAAGACCAAAGAGGGGGACCUUAGGGCCUCUUGCCAUCGGAUGUGCCCAGAUGGGAUUAGCUAGUAGGUGGGGUAACGGCUUACCUAGGCGACGAUCCCUAGCUGGUCUGAGAGGAUGACCAGCGACACUGGGACUGAGACACGGUACAGACUCCUACGGGAGGUAGCAGUGGGGAAUAGUGCACAAUGGGCGCAAGCCUGAUGCAGCCGUGCCGCGUGUAUGAAGAAGGCCUUCGGGUUGUAAAGUACUUUCAGCGGGGAGGAAGGGAGUAAAGUUAAUACCUUUUCUCAUUGACGUUACCCGCAGAAGAAGCACCGGCUAACUCCGUG
rnacentral:rRNA from 1 species